rfam:Pseudomonadales bacterium CV58 contig_140, whole genome shotgun sequence.
AAACUCUCGCGCCUUUUUCCUGACUUCCCAAGGCGUGGAAGGCUGUCAAUUGGAGUUUUUCUCAUAAUGGCCCGUAUUGCAGGCGUAAAUAUUCCAGAC